rnacentral:rRNA from 1 species
AGUGAACGCUGGCGGUAGGCCUAACACAUGCAAGUCGAACGGCAGCACAGUAAGAGCUUGCUCUUACGGGUGGCGAGUGGCGGACGGGUGCGGAAUACAUCGGAAUCUACUUUUUCGUGGGGGAUAACGUAGGGAAACUUACGCUAAUACCGCAUACGACCUACGGGUGAAAGCAGGGGAUCUUCGGACCUUGCGCGAUUGAAUGAGCCGAGGUCGGAUUAGCUAGUUGGCGGGGUAAAGGCCCACCAAGGCGACGAUCCGUAGCUGGUCUGAGAGGAUGAUCAGCCACACGGGAACUGAGACACGGUCCAGACUCCUACGGGAGGCAGCAGUGGGGAAUAUUGGACAAUGGGCGCAAGCCUGAUCCAGCCAUACCGCGUGGGUGAAGAAGGCCUUCGGGUUGUAAAGCCCUUUUGUUGGGAAAGAAAAGCAGCAGGUUAAUACCCCGCUGUUCUGACGGUACCCAAAGAAUAAGCACCAGCUAACUUCGUG